AGCUCCAAUAGCGUAUAUUAAAGUUGUUGCAGUUAAAAAGCUCGUAGUUGGACUUCUGCGGGUGGCGGCCGGUCGUGCCCUUUUGUGGCGUGAACUUGGCUUCUUGCCGCCCGCAUCUUUGGGGAGAUUGUGCGUGGCAUUAGGUUGUCGUGCAUGGGAUUCUCAUCAUUUACUGUGAAAAAAUUAGAGUGUUUAAAGCAGGCCUUUGCCUUGAAUACAUUAGCAUGGAAUAAUAAGAUAGGACCGUUGUCUAUUUUGUUGGUUUACAGAUGUCGGUAAUGAUUAAUAGGGAUAGUUGGGGGUAUUCGUAUUCAGUUGUCAGAGGUGAAAUUCUUGGAUUUUCGGAAGACGCACGACUGCGAAAGCAUUUACCAAGGAUGUUUUCAUUAAUCAAGAACGA
rnacentral:rRNA from 1 species